rnacentral:rRNA from 1 species
UACGUAGGGGGCUAGCGUUGUCCGGAAUCAUUGGGCGUAAAGGGCGUGUAGGCGGUUUGUUAAGUCAUGUGUGAAAUCCCUCGGCUCAACCGGGGAACGACGCAUGAAACUGGCAAGCUAGAGUACCAAAGAGGGGGGUGGAAUUCCCGGUGUAGCGGUGAAAUGCAUAGAUAUCGGGAGGAACACCUGUGGCGAAGGCGGCUCUCUGGACCGAUACUGACGCUGAGGCGCGAAAGCGUGGGGAGCAAACAGG